AGUAAGGAAUAUUGGACAAUGGGCGGGAGCCUGAUCCAGCCAUCCCGCGUGCAGGACGACGGCCCUCUGGGUUGUAAACUGCUUUUGCAGGGGAAGAAACGCCCGGAUUCAUCCGGGCCUGACGGUACCCUGCGAAGAAGCACCGGCUAACUCCGUGCCAGCAGCCGCGGUAAUACGGAGGGUGCGAGCGUUAUCCGGAAUCACUGGGUUUAAAGGGUGCGUAGGCGGCCCGUUAAGUCAGGGGUGAAAUCCCGCAGCUCAACUGCGGAAGUGCCCUUGAUACUGGCGGGCUCGGAUCGGCGCGAGGCGGGCGGAACGUGGCAUGUAGCGGUGAAAUGCUUAGAUAUGCCACAGAACACCGAUUGCGUAGGCAGCUUGCCAGAGCCGUAUCGACGCUGAGGCACGAAAGCGUGGGGAGCGAACAGGAUUAGAUACCCUGGUAGUCCACGCCCUAAACGAUGUUUACUCGACGUACGGCCAUUGUGCUGUGCGUCCAAGCGAAAGCGCUAAGUAAACCNCCUGGGAGUAC
rnacentral:rRNA from 1 species